rnacentral:misc_RNA from 2 species
AAAGGCGGCUCUUGAAGCCGAGCGGCGGCGCCCUUCGGGGUGCCUGCUGACGCGGGAUCUCCCUGCUAUCCUUUGUCUAUUCGUACCUUCUUUUCCUCAGCGGGCUUGCCUGCUGCAGGACCUUUUGAACAAACCUUUAUGAAAUACUUGUCUGAACAAUAGUAUUAAUUACUUA